rnacentral:rRNA from 2 species
UGCAGUCGAGCGAACAGAUGAAGUGCUUGCACUUCUGACGUUAGCGGCGAACGGGUGAGUAACACGUAAGGAAUCUACCUAUAAGCGGGGGAUAACAUUCGGAAACGGGUGCUAAUACCGCAUAAUAUCUUCUUCCGCAUGGAAGAAGAUUGAAAGACGGCUCUGCUGUCACUUAUAGAUGACCUUGCGGUGCAUUAGUUAGUUGGUGGGGUAACGGCCUACCAAGACGAUGAUGCAUAGCCGACCUGAGAGGGUGAUCGGCCACAUUGGGACUGAGACACGGCCCAAACUCCUACGGGAGGCAGCAGUAGGGAAUCUUCCGCAAUGGGCGAAAGCCUGACGGAGCAAUGCCGCGUGAGUGAAGAAGGCCUUCGGGUCGUAAAACUCUGUUAUAAGAGAAGAACAAAUUGUAGAGUAACUGCUACAGUCUUGACGGUAUCUUAUCAGAAAGCCACGGCUAACUACGUGCCAGCAGCCGCGGUAAUACGUAGGUGGCAAGCGUUGUCCGGAUUUAUUGGGCGUAAAGGGAGCGCAGGUGGUUUCUUAAGUCUGAUGUGAAAGCCCACGGCUUAACCGUGGAGGGUCAUUGGAAACUGGGAAACUUGAGUACAGAAGAGGAAUGUGGAACUCCAUGUGUAGCGGUGGAAUGCGUAGAUAUAUGGAAGAACACCAGUGGCGAAGGCGACAUUCUGGUCUGUUACUGACACUGAGGCUCGAAAGCGUGGGGAGCAAACAGGAUUAGAUACCCUGGUAGUCCACGCCGUAACGAUGAGUGCUA